AGUGAACGCUGGCGGUAGGCCUAACACAUGCAAGUCGAACGGCAGCACAGUAAGAGCUUGCUCUUACGGGUGGCGAGUGGCGGACGGGUGAGGAAUACAUCGGAAUCUACUUUUUCGUGGGGGAUAACGUAGGGAAACUUACGCUAAUACCGCAUACGACCUACGGGGGAAAGCAGGGGAUCUUCGGCCCUUGCGCGAUUGAAUGAGCCGAUGUCGGAUUAGCUAGUUGGCGGGGUAAAGGCCCACCAAGGCGACGAUCCGUAGCUGGUCUGAGAGGAUGAUCAGCCACACUGGAACUGAGACACGGUCCAGACUCCUACGGGAGGCAGCAGUGGGGAAUAUUGGACAAUGGGCGCAAGCCUGAUCCAGCCAUACCGCGUGGGUGAAGAAGGCCUUCGGGUUGUAAAGCCCUUUUGUUGGGAAAGAAAAGCAGCAGGUUAAUACCCCGCUGUUCUGACGGUACCCAAAGAAUAAGCACCGGCUAACUUCGUG
rnacentral:rRNA from 1 species